rnacentral:rRNA from 1 species
AGAGUUUGAUCAUGGCUCAGGAUGAACGCUGGCGGCGUGCCUAAUACAUGCAAGUCGAACGCACAGCGAAAGGUGCUUGCACCUUUCAAGUGAGUGGCGAACGGGUGAGUAACACGUGGACAACCUGCCUCAAGGCUGGGGAUAACAUUUGGAAACAGAUGCUAAUACCGAAUAAAACUUAGUGUCGCAUGACACAAAGUUAAAAGGCGCUUCGGCGUCACCUAGAGAUGGAUCCGCGGUGCAUUAGUUAGUUGGUGGGGUAAAGGCCUACCAAGACAAUGAUGCAUAGCCGAGUUGAGAGACUGAUCGGCCACAUUGGGACUGAGACACGGCCCAAACUCCUACGGGAGGCUGCAGUAGGGAAUCUUCCACAAUGGGCGAAAGCCUGAUGGAGCAACGCCGCGUGUGUGAUGAAGGCUUUCGGGUCGUAAAGCACUGUUGUAUGGGAAGAACAGCUAGAAUAGGAAAUGAUUUUAGUUUGACGGUACCAUACCAGAAAGGGACGGCUAAAUACGUGCCAGCAGCCGCGGUAAUACGUAUGUCCCGAGCGUUAUCCGGAUUUAUUGGGCGUAAAGCGAGCGCAGACGGUUUAUUAAGUCUGAUGUGAAAGCCCGGAGCUCAACUCCGGAAUGGCAUUGGAAACUGGUUAACUUGAGUGCAGUAGAGGUAAGUGGAACUCCAUGUGUAGCGGUGGAAUGCGUAGAUAUAUGGAAGAACACCAGUGGCGAAGGCGGCUUACUGGACUGCAACUGACGUUGAGGCUCGAAAGUGUGGGUAGCAAACAGGAUUAGAUACCCUGGUAGUCCACACCGUAAACGAUGAACACUAGGUGUUAGGAGGUUUCCGCCUCUUAGUGCCGAAGCUAACGCAUUAAGUGUUCCGCCUGGGGAGUACGACCGCAAGGUUGAAACUCAAAGGAAUUGACGGGGACCCGCACAAGCGGUGGAGCAUGUGGUUUAAUUCGAAGCAACGCGAAGAACCUUACCAGGUCUUGACAUCCUUUGAAGCUUUUAGAGAUAGAAGUGUUCUCUUCGGAGACAAAGUGACAGGUGGUGCAUGGUCGUCGUCAGCUCGUGUCGUGAGAUGUUGGGUUAAGUCCCGCAACGAGCGCAACCCUUAUUGUUAGUUGCCAGCAUUCAGAUGGGCACUCUAGCGAGACUGCCGGUGACAAACCGGAGGAAGGCGGGGACGACGUCAGAUCAUCAUGCCCCUUAUGACCUGGGCUACACACGUGCUACAAUGGCGUAUACAACGAGUUGCCAACCCGCGAGGGUGAGCUAAUCUCUUAAAGUACGUCUCAGUUCGGAUUGUAGUCUGCAACUCGACUACAUGAAGUCGGAAUCGCUAGUAAUCGCGGAUCAGCACGCCGCGGUGAAUACGUUCCCGGGUCUUGUACACACCGCCCGUCACACCAUGGGAGUUUGUAAUGCCCAAAGCCGGUGGCCUAACCUUUUAGGAAGGAGCCGUCUAAGGCAGGACAGAUGACUGGGGUGAAGUCGUAACAAGGUA